rnacentral:rRNA from 1 species
AACGAACGCUGGCGGCAUGCCUAAUACAUGCAAGUCGAACGAUCACUUCGGUGGUAGUGGCGCACGGGUGCGUAACGCGUGGGAAUCUGCCCUUGGGUUCGGAAUAACGUCGGGAAACUGACGCUAAUACCGGAUGAUGCCGUAAGUCCAAAGAUUUAUCGCCCAGGGAUGAGCCCGCGUAGGAUUAGCUAGUUGGUGGGGUAAAGGCUUACCAAGGCGACGAUCCUUAGCUGGUCUGAGAGGAUGAUCAGCCACACUGGGACUGAGACACGGCCCAGACUCCUACGGGAGGCAGCAGUAGGGAAUAUUGGACAAUGGGGGCAACCCUGAUCCAGCAAUGCCGCGUGAGUGAUGAAGGCCUUAGGGUUGUAAAGCUCUUUUACCCGGGAUGAUAAUGACAGUACCGGGAGAAUAAGCCCCGGCUAACUCCGUGCCAGCCGCCGCGGUAA